GCCACACCUGCAGCAUAUGGAAGGUCCCCAGCUAGAGGUCCAAUCAGAGCUAUAGCUGCAGGCCUACACCACAGCCAUAGCAACUCAGAAUCCAAGCCACGUCUGUGACCUAUGCCACAGCUCAUAGCAAUGCCGGAUCCUUAACCCACUGAGCAAGGCCAGGGAUUGAGCCCACAUCCUUGUGGAUACUAGUCAGGCUCGUUAACUGCUGAGCCAUGAAGGGAACUCCCUAUUUCUUCACUUUUGAAGGCAGGGAAAGAUCAUCUAGUCUUAAGCUCAGGAAGGUGUUUAUUGGCAUCAUAUUAACCCUUUAGUGACAUAUAGUUCACUAAUAUCUUUAUAAUUGAGGAUAAGGCCUUGUGAAAAAUCAUACUCCCUUGCAGAUGUCUCAUUGUAUGUCUCUCAAGCAGAGAAAUUUGAAUGUUCAAUAUGCCAGGCUGUAUGCUUUCUUUUCUGUUAUUACAUUAUACUUCAGAUCCAUAUUUUUGUCUGGCUUGCUUAAAGACAUUUACAAAUUUAUUGCAUUCAUCUUUUUCUUUUUCAUCCAAGGCAGCAUCCUCAAGAGGAACAGGAACAGAAUAGUAAAUCCUAGAAACAGAGGAAUCCUAGGCUAGCAUCCUAGCUCUACCGCUUAUGACUGGGUAUCAUCUAACUAGCCACAUAACUCUUUAAGCCUCAGACUUCCUUCUUGUAUAGGAAAAAAGACUUGUCUAGAUAUUAUGAUAACUUCCAGUUCUAAAAUAUUUUGUAAGAGAGAAAUCUUACUUUGUUAAAGACAAUAUGAAGUGUAACAGUAAAAGUCAAACAGUCAAGAACAUCUGCAAUCAGGGUAGGUAGCAGGCUGUGCCCAUGUGUUCUAAAAGCCUAGUCCUGACACCAGAGUUUUACACUGCAACAGCAUAAUCAUUCCUACCAGCAUGUUCCAUUAAAGCUUGACUUACUGCCAGGGAAUUCACCUGCUGACACAGUAAAACUCCUAACUGGAAGCAUUAACAUUGCAAUGUCAGAUGGGGAAAAAAAAAAUGUUCAUAAAUUCCACGAACGUGCACUGCUUUACUUGAGGUCCUGGUUGCAAACUCAUUAUUUAUGCUGUGUACAGUAGGCCAUCAACAGAUCCCACUGGGAAAUUAGUUUGCAAUUUAGAAUCGUUUCAAAGUACAAGUGAUUCUCAAGUCAUUUUCCGAGGUUAAAUGAGAACUCUUAUUGCUUUCCGUGGGCUCAGAGGGAAUUUUUACUCUGUGUGUUCCCUCCUCCCCCAGCUCCUGCUACACUGUCUUGAUUUUUCUUUCUUAAAUGCGCUUUGGUGCUAAAUCUCUCUUUUUCAAUUUUUGAAAGCUGGUAAAUGGAAUGGUAUUUGUUGCAUUUUCUUGCUUGCUGGGAACUCCUUAAGCACCUCACUUUUGAUUACUGCUUUUAUUCUUUGAAGACUCCUGAGAGGUUUCCCUGUGCUCUACCAACUACAUUGCUUAGCUAACAGAGGAGUGAUUUGGAAAGAUUGGCUGGCAUCCGCUUUAGGAUGCAGUGAAUCAGAGUCAUCAUCCCACUUCCCUUCCAGCUUCUCACUCUGGGGGGCCGUGCCAUGGGACAGGGCUCCAGGCGGGCAGACUAAGGGCACAAGGAAUGAGUCUUACAACUGCAGAAGAUGUGAACGGGAGGUUCAGUCUUGCUUAUGGGCUCAUGAGCCCACAGUAUAGAACAAACUGUUGAGAUAAAAAGUGUCCCACUGAUCCUUUCCGCCUUCACACACCCCUUGAUUCAAUUCAGAACAUCCUUAAGCAUAUUUUUAAGCUUUAUUUUACUGGUAAUUGUGUGUAUAUCUUCUCAAUCUUACCCCCAACCUAGGAGAACUGACCUUAAACCAUCUGGUAGAUAAUUUGUAACCUGAUAUUACCCUUGGAGAAUAAAGAGCAUUAUUUUAGUGUACCAUUGUACCCUUGAUCAUUCCCAGAAAGGAGCAAAUAAUCCAUAGUGUUAAGGUCUUUGAGGAAUUUUUUUUCUUUUCCUCCUUUCUCAAUAAGUUGCUGAAAUGCCAAAGCUGGUAUUAUUAGCUAUAAUGAAUAAACAUCAAAUAGAAAAUAAAUCAUUAAAUGACUCCCCUUCUCUGAUGAGAAACACUAGGGUUCAUUUGAAACCAAGAUUUCAACAUCUCUCUAAUGCAUUGGGAGAGUGUUUCCAUAGGCUCAGACCAGAAAGUAUACAAACCAAAGAGAUUGAGUGUUUAGUUUCAAAAUACAUGAAAUCACUAGUUUAAACAUAGAAACUACACACAAAGAGUGCAAAGACACAAUGAAAGCUGGAGAUCAACAGGGUAAAUAUCACCUAGAAAUACUAACAGUCUUAAAGGUCAGAAAUCCUUAGUUAAACAAAAAGACCCAUCCAUUAAAAACAAUCAAUUACAAGAUAACCUGAGAAUACCACACUAUGCAUUCCCUUUAAAAGCAGAUGUUGUUCUGCUAAGAGCUAUUAGCUAUGUGCUUUAGAGGUAAAUAGAUAGAGCAGGUAACAAACAGAGACUAAAACCCAAAGGAAAAGAAACCAAAAAUUAAGUGCAUUUGGAACUGCUUGAUAUUGAAUUUCUCAGGCACAGGGAAAAGGCUUUUGUCUCAUGGACAUCCAUCGCUACCUGUCAGCGCCUAGCUCUUUGGUAAUGCACAGAAAAAAACUUCACUAGUUACAAUAUUCUGAGUUAGUCUUUUUGGGUUGAAAUUGGCUUAAAACGUUUUCCUUGAUUAUAGAUAAUUCUUUUUUCUACUAAUAUUUGAAUGUCAACAUGCUUCAAAAAUGAUCCUCCUUUCCUUCAAGAUUUGGAAGAGGUGGGUGUUGAUUUGGUUUUCUAGUACUUUCUAUAGUUUUUUCUUUCUACGUGUAAUAUAUGUCUUAUAACUUGUGAACAUCUCAUAUAUUCAAUGCAUCUUUGUCUUUGUUUGGUAAAAUAAUAGGUUAGAUAAGGAUGAUACUUGGCAUAUAGAAACUUAACAUCUUUUAAUGUAUGAGAACACUUGAGUGGAUGGUAUUUAUAGAUAUUUCUCAUGUCCCUGAGAACUCUCUUUUCCAGACUUUCAUAUUGCCAUUUGUUCUUUUAGACAGCAUACUAAUUAUUUGUCACUAAAUCCCCAAAUCUUCUCAUAUGUAUAGAGAUGGGCUGAACUGGUGAAAACGUCUCAACUCUCAAGGACAGUGUCUUAUCAUUAAGGCAAUUUCAGAGAUUCUUAGAUUUUUUUUUUUAACAUUUCAUAAGUAGUUAAAAACAAUUUUCUACAAUGCGGCAAAAAAAAAGCAGUAGGAUAUGAUCUUGUGUCUUUUCCAUUUCCAUAAAUAUUGUUUGAACAAGAGAAGAACUAGUCAUAUUCCACUUUCCGCUUCUCAAAGUUGUAGCCUACUUUGACUUUGUCAUAGAGCCUUCUAUGACAAACUACAAAAAAGGGAUUACUAUAUCUUUAUUAGUAGAAAGAUACAUUAAUAUAUCUUUCUUUCCUCUCUCCCUAAAAUGUUAAGCUUCAUUCAAAAGUCUUAUUUUAAACCACAUGACAUAGGACGCUUCUUCUACCUAACUUAGGAUCUGAAUGAUACUAUAACUGCAUCCUUGAAAAUAAUCCGAGGCAAAAUCCAUGGUAAAUCCAUGUUUUCUAGAUCACUAAAACAUAGCAUCGAUGCUGUGCUUUCAGGUGAACUUCUACAAAAUGCAAGCAUAUUAUUGAAAUCAACAAAACCCCAAUGAUUGCAGGGCAGAAAGAGGACUCAUUAGCAUAUGCUCAUGUUGACAAGUUGAAUGAGGGGCUGAAGAUGCUGAAGAAAGUCAGGAAUCCUCUUCUUUAUGUGAAUGUCUGUCUAAAUCUAAUCCUAAGUAUAAACCAGAGUCUAACCUAUCACUCAUUAGCAUUAGUGUCCUCUCCCUCUAGCUACCCACACAUUUUGGUUUUGAUUAUGAAUGUGUCAUUUCUGGGGAUUAUUUAUUUUCCCAUUAGAUGUAAUCAUACAUUCUGAACCUUUGCUUAAUUGUCCUGAAAUGUUUGCCAACAAGGAAGAAGAGAAUAGGAUACAUGCCUCCUCUCCCUAAAACACGAAUUACCACCAGGCAUUCACUUUUUCUCUAGCCAGUCCCAUGGUCAGGCCUCUGGAGCAGAGACUGUACACAAACUGCCUGAUUAUGAGGUUCUCGCUCAUCAAAGUGAAAUUUUGCAAAGACAACAUAAGCAGCCUCAAAAUCUGCUGUUCUUGACACACAAACAUGAGCCCUUGGAUCUAGAAGGAACAAGGAGGCUAUAGCAUCUUUAAUAAAGUGGUUGAAGCCAGGGGUUGAAAGAACACAGAGCAUCCCUUUCUUCAGCUGGCAUUCACAACUGUGUCCCUGUCAGCAACUCAGACUCCAGACAGUCAAAACAGAACCCUUGAGUUCGCUUCAUUCCCUCCAAAGCUUGCUGCUCUGCUAGGCAGAGAUCAACAUUUUGGGGAAUUUUUUAAAGUGCUAUUUCUGAAGGCAGAGAGGAGAACAGAGACAUAACUGCACUGCCCCACUGAUUAGUUGGGCUUGCUUUCUUUUGUAAGUCUCUCAGAAACAUGGUGGCCCUCUCUGCAUGGGUUUUUAAAGUGCUUCUGUCUGAAUGCCCUUGGAACACUGAACAACAAAACAAAACAACAACAACAACAAAACAAAAAUUAUACGUGUGUAAGAAUUAUACACACACGGCUGAGGCUUUUCUCUGCUUAAAAAACAUCUGCAGUCAAUUAGAAAUAAGCCUGAGUGUCGUGUUAAUUCUGCAGAACCAAACAAAGUCAUUUUUGUUUAAACUCUUUCAGUGCUGUGAGAAUGAGAGGUUACAGGAGGAGGAAAAAAAAAAAAAAAGCAAUAGAACAAAACUGCCCUGUGGCCCUGGAAGGGAGUUGAGGAGGCAAAUAAGAAUUACUUUUCUUUGAGAAUAUGAACCUGGAAAUUUUUUCCAGGAGGAUUCUAUUCUUUCCUAUUUCUCUCUUGGGGUAUGGGGAGUGGGGAGCAAGCCUACCCUUUCUUCUAAAAAGGCAACUUUUAAAAAAGCAAUGAAACAUUCUCCAGAUUCCCUCAAAAUAAAUUUGACCAGUUGAUGUGUUUGGCAAAUGAGUGGUAGCACUUCAUUUUUAAUUUUGUGGAAAGCCAAACAAAUCAAACUAUAUUUGUAGACCAUUGUGUGCAUUUCAAAUCACUGUCAUAGUUGCUAAAUGUGAUUGGUGUUCUGACUUCAGAUAUACUAAAAGCAACCAUUUCCACUGAAAUACUUAUCUUGCCGUGAAUAUCGGUGUUCAUGUCCACCUUUUGUUAACAGCAGUAGCAUUGAUUCCACUGGCACUGGAAUUUAUCUCUCUCAGAGAAGUCUGUGGAUAACCAGAGAUACCAUUUCCACACAACCACACUAGAGCUACAUGUUUUUAGGGUUGAUGGUCUCUAAAUAUAAAAGAGAAUUUCAACUCUUCCUUUGGGCUGAUGCAUUAUUUCUUCUCCAUAUCUCCCCUCCCCUUCCUUCCUUCCUCUUUCUUUUUCAUUUAAAAGUUUCAUUGAAGUGGGAGCUCCUGUCAUGGCGCGGAGGAAACGAAUCUGACUAGGAACCAUGAGGUUGGGGGUUCAAUCCCUAGUCUCUCUCAGUGGAUUAAGGAUUUGGUGUUGCUGUGAGCUGUGGUGUAGGUCACAGAUGUGGCUCAGAUCUGGUGUUGCUGUGGCUGUGGUGUAGGCCAGCGGCUACAGCUCCCAUUAGACUCCUAGCCUGGGAACCUCCAUAUGCCAUGAGUGCAGCCCUAAAAAAAAAAAAAAAGAAAAA
rnacentral:lncRNA from 1 species